UAGGGAAUCUUCGCCAAUGGACGGAAGUCUGACCGAGCAACGCCGCGUGAGUGAAGAAGGUUUUCGGAUCGUAAAGCUCUGUUGUUAGAGAAGAACGUUGGUAGGAGUGGAAAAUCUACCAAGUGACGGUAACUAACCAGAAAGGGACGGCUAACUACGUGCCAGCAGCCGCGGUAAUACGUAGGUCCCGAGCGUUGUCCGGAUUUAUUGGGCGUAAAGCGAGCGCAGGCGGUUCUUUAAGUCUGAAGUUAAAGGCAGUGGCUUAACCAUUGUACGAUUUGGAAACUGGAGGACUUGAAUGCAGAAGGGGAGAGUGGAAUUCCAUGUGUAGCGGUGAAAUGCGUAGAUAUAUGGAGGAACACCGGUGGCGAAAGCGGCUCUCUGGUCUGUAACUGACGCUGAGGCUCGAAAGCGUGGGGAGCAAACAGG
rnacentral:rRNA from 1 species